rfam:Callipepla squamata strain Texas jcf7180005231191, whole genome shotgun sequence.
CUUCCGUGAAGAUGUGAUGACGAGUCUGAAAGGGAAUGUCCUUCUCCAAGCUCCCUGCUUCUUGCUGUGUUCUACAGCAUGAGUUUGGGGACCUUGGGUCAGAAUUUGAGUGACCAAGAGGCAUUUGUCUGAGAAGG